AGUGAACGCUGGCGGCAGGCUUAACACAUGCAAGUCGAGCGCCUGUAGCAAUACAGGAGCGGCAGACGGGAGAGUAACACGUGGGAACGUACCCUUUGGUUCGGAACAACCCAGGGAAACUUGGACUAAUACCGGAUAAGCCCUAACGGGGAAAGAUUUAUCGCCAAAGGAUCGGCCCGCGUCUGAUUAGCUAGUUGGUGAGGUAACGGCUCACCAAGGCGACGAUCAGUAGCUGGUCGAGAGGAUGAUCAGCCUCACUGGGACUGAGACACGGCCCAGACUCCUACGGGAGGCAGCAGUGGGGAAUAUUGGACAAUGGGCGCAAGCCUGAUCCAGCCAUGCCGCGUGGGUGAUGAAGGCCUUAGGGUUGUAAAGCCCUUUCGGCGGGGAAGAUAAUGACGGUACCCGCAGAAGAAGCCCCGCUAACUUCGUGCCAGCCGCCGCAGU
rnacentral:rRNA from 1 species